rnacentral:rRNA from 1 species
UAAGAAGAGAGAAUGCCGGAAUGAGUAGCGAGAUGGAGGUGGGAAUCCUCCAGGCCGAAUAUCCAAGGUUUCCAGAGUAAAGCUGAUCUGCUCUGGGUAAGUCGGGGCCUAAGGCGAGGCUGAGAGGCGUAGUCGAUGGACAACAGGUUGAAAUUCCUGUACCAUGUAUCAUCAGAACUGUGGGGACACAGAAGGACAACACAUCCCGGGAAUGGGAAUACCGGGGCAAGCGAGGUAGGAGUACGGUUGGCAAAUCCGCCGUGCAAUCCGAAGACGUGACGCGCAGCGAACUAAAGUAGCGAAGUGUGUGAUUCCGGCUGUCAAGAAAAGCCGCUAUUGUGUGAUACAUGCCCGUACCGUAAACCGACACAGGUAGAUGAGGAGAGAAUCCUAAGGCCGGCGGGAGAAGCAUUGUUAAGGAACUCGGCAAAAUGACCCCGUAACUUCGGGAGAAGGGGUGCCACAGAGAUGUGGCCGCAGAGAAUAGGCUCAAGCAACUGUUUAGCAAAAACACAGGUCUAUGCAAAACCGUAAGGUGAGGUAUAUGGGCUGACGCCUGCCCGGUGCUGGAAGGUUAAGAGGAGAGGUUAGCGCAAGCGAAGCUUUGAAUUUAAGCCCCAGUAAACGGCGGCCGUAACUAUAACGGUCCUAAGGUAGCGAAAUUCCUUGUCGGGUAAGUUCCGACCCGCACGAAAGGCGUAAUGAUUUGAGCGCUGUCUCAACAAUGCACCCGGUGAAAUUGAAAUACCAGUGAAGAUGCUGGUUACCUGCGCCAGGACGGAAAGACCCCAUGGAGCUUUACUCCAGUUUGAUACUGGGAUUCGGUAUUGCAUGUACAGGAUAGGUGGGAGGCUUUGAAACAUGGACGCCAGUCUGUGUGGAGCCAAUGUUGGGAUACCACCCUUGCGAUAUUGGGUUUCUAACCUGCGCCCGUGACCCGGGCGGGGGACAAUGUCAGGCGGGGAGUUUGACUGGGGCGGUCGCCUCCGAAAGGGUAUCGGAGGCGCUCAAAGGUUCCCUCAGGAUGGUUGGAAACCAUCCAAAGAGUGCAAAGGCAUAAGGGAGCUUGACUGCGACACCGACGGGUGGAGCAGGUACGAAAGUAGGACUUAGUGAUCCGGUGGUAUGAAAGUGGGAUUGCCAUCGCUCAACGGAUAAAAGCUACCCUGGGGAUAACAGGCUUAUCACUCCCAAGAGUUCACAUCGACGGAGUGGUUUGGCACCUCGAUGUCGGCUCAUCGCAUCCUGGGGCUGUAGCAGGUCCCAAGGGUUGGGCUGUUCGCCCAUUAAAGCGGUACGCGAGCUGGGUUCAGAACGUCGUGAGACAGUUCGGUCCCUAUCCGGCGCGGGCGUAGGAUAUCUGAGAGGAGCUGUCCUUAGUACGAGAGGACCGGGAUGGACAGACCGCUGGUGUACCUGUUGGCCUACCAAGGCCAUGGCAGGGUAGCCAAGUCUGGACGGGAUAAACGCUGAAGGCAUCUAAGCGUGAAGCCCCCCUCAAGAUGAGAUAUCCCAUCGCGAAAGCGAGUAAGACCCCUUGAAGACGACGAGGUAGAUAGGUUAGAGGUGGAAGUGCAGUAAUGUACGGAGCUGACUAAUACUAAUCGGUCGAGGGCUUAUCCA